rnacentral:rRNA from 1 species
CGGGAUACCCGAGGGAAACUUCGGUUAAUACGGUAUAAGACCACACUACCGCAUGGUAGAGGGGUAAAAGGGGCAACCUGGUAUGAGAUGGACUCGCGUCGCAUUAGCUAGUUGGUGAGGUAACGGCCCACCAAGGUGACGAUGCGUAGCCGACCUGAGAGGGUGAUCGGCCACAUUGGGACUGAGAUACGGCCCAGACUCCUACGGGAGGCAGCAGUGGGGAAUAUUGGGCAAUGGAGGAAACUCUGACCCAGCAAUGCCGCGUGAAUGAAGAAGGUCUUCGGAUUGUAAAGUUCUUUAGUCAGGGAAGAAGUCAAUGACGGUACCUGAAGAAUAAGCUCCGGCUAACUACGUGCCAGCGGCCGCGGUAAUACGUAGGGAGCAAGCGUUGUUCGGAAUGACUGGGCGUAAAGGGUGCGUAGGCGGUUGUACAAGUUAGAAGUGAAAUACCCAGGGCUUAACUCGGGUGCUGCUUCUAAAACUGUAUGACUUGAGUGCAGUAGAGGUUGGUGGAAUUCCUAGUGUAGCGGUGGAAUGCGUAGAUAUUAGGAGGAACACCAGAGGCGAAGGCGGCUAACUGGACUGCAACUGACGCUGAGGCACGAAAGUGUGGGGAGCAAACAGGAUUAGAUACCCUGGUAGUCCACACUGUAAACGAUGGAUACUAGAUGUAGGAGGUAUCGACUCCUUCUGCGUCGCAG